UCAAUAUUGAAUCGUGGAAAGAAAUACUGAACGAAUCAACGCUUUAAGCUCUUUACAGAAAAAAAUAUAGACAAGAUCGAAAAAUUCAUCAUAAUUGUUAAAUGCUUCUUUCCCCAAAAUAGCUAAAUUAAACAGUAGCAAACCUGGGGGAGAAAUGAGAUAAAAGCGCAGGAAAGCUGCACCGGAUAACAGUUUGAAUGGAAAGAAAAAAAAGCGAACCGCGUUUCAUUUUUCUUUAAUCGAAACAGCAGAUCUAAGGGCACAUGAAAAUAUCAGGAAUAAAAAGCUCGACUUUAUUUAAACACCAGACAAUUUUAAACGAAAGAUAAACAUUCAAAUGGACGAUCUGGAUCGAGAAACGAACCUCUUUUUGAAUUUGUAGGAUAAUGAAAGAAAAUGAUGAAGCAGCAGAUGAUUUAGUUUGAGAAAGAUGACAGGGUAGUGUUGGAGAAUUUGCCGCCUUUUUUCUCUUUCUCGGCUCCUUUCCCUCCUUAAAUUUGAAGGCCCCUUCGUUUUUUCAGCCCCUGUGAUGCUCGGCUGGCGCUGGGCUCCUGAUCGGACUUAGCGGCCUGUAUUUCACUGGCUUAUUGAUCCAAG
rnacentral:lncRNA from 1 species